rnacentral:lncRNA from 1 species
CUAGGCGACUGGUGUGGAUUGGUGUUGCUGAGAUGUGGCUUUCAACGUUGCCCGACUCAGACCUGUUUCCAGUCUGGAUGGAGCGGACCGACUGUGUGGGAUGGGACGAUGGCUACGGGCUGAGAGGAACAAGUGAAACUCAACAGCUAAGGAGAAAAUGAAGAACUAGUGCCACGUUUUCCACAUUCUUUUUGCUCCAGGGUUGACUUGGCAUUUGGCCUUUCUACCUGGAGAAAAUCAAGAGUAUGUAACUCUCCCUGCAGAUGGUCUGUCUGUAAGGCUCCUGACACAGGAGCCUUUGGGAGCCAGUAUCUAUUUUGUUUCUGACUGCAAAGUUCCAGCCAAUGAUUUGGAGGGGGUCCGGCACCUUCUGCUGGGAGCUAGUCCGGGAGGGAACAACUUAUUCCUGAGUUCUCUUUCGCAAACAUAUUUCUUGUUCAUUAAAAUAAUAGUAAUAAAAAUAAGAAUAAUGAUUAAAA